AUCUGAGAGAAUGUGUAGAUGCAGCGUGAAGAGAGAGACGUUGUUCACUACACUAACAUGAGAUAGCGAAUGCGAUCAGCUGGGUUUGGUCAAAACACGGUAGUUUGACAGCUAGGUAACUGAUUUUGUAUGCGCUGGGAGCUUUUCGUUUUACCACGUUUUACAAGAUUUUGAUUAUCGUACUUGCGUUUCGACUUGUGUUUUGUGUUCUUGUGUACGAAAUGCCUGCUACUUGUGCAGCAUAUGGCUGUACAAACCGCCAUAAAAAAGGGGGGAACAUUUCUUUUCACAGUUUUCCAAAUGAUGAAAGUUUGCGACAAAAAUGGGUAAUUGCCAUGAAAAGGGAACAUUUCGAACCGUCAAAAUAUUCGAAGCUGUGUUCAGAUCAUUUCAAAAAGGAAGACUUUGUUUUUACUUUUGGCUAAAAAACAUUAAAAUUGGGCACAGUGCCUACGAUUUUUAAUUUUCCAUCGCAUUUAUUAAAGAAGGAACCCAAGGAACGCUCCACUAGGCUCCGAAACUUUGAAAAUGAUGGUAAUUCUGUUGAGACAUUGGUUGAGACGGUUGUGACCAAUGUUGUGACAGAAUCAGAAACUGGCGCAUCUGAAGUAUCUGUGACUAGUUCUUCCACUUCCCAUCAAGAGCAGCAGCCAUCAACCUCCACGGUACCUUCUGCAGAUGUUUUUUUAAUCUGCAGAGCUGCCGAAAAUCUAUUCAGAAAUUAUGAGAUGAUCUCAUCAGGAAACGUUAUUUUACGGCUAAUAUAUUUAACAAAAAAACAACUGAAAAUUUGUGAAUUAUUUGUUAAACUAAAUGACCACAUUCUGGAUCAAGAUCCUCUGAACAAUCAUUUGUUGCAACUUGUAAAUUUAAUUUUAAAAACUUUUUUUACGAUUCGGUUGCACCACAAAAAUAUGUCAAUCAAUGAAACCAAAGAAAGAAUUCGGCACAAAUAUUCAAAAUUAAUUUUAUUUAAAAAUCAAUGAAAGCCGUUUACUUUGCGUUUUUUCUCCUUGUUGUAAUCUUUAAACUGUUUAUGCCGCAAUAAUAAAAUUUUAAAUUAGAAUUCA